GACGAACGCUGGCGGCGUGCCUAAUACAUGCAAGUCGAGCGCAGGGAACUGACGGAACUCUUCGGAGGGAAGGCAGUGGAAUGAGCGGCGGACGGGUGAGUAACACGUAAGGAACCUGCCUCAAGGAUUGGGAUAACUCCGAGAAAUCGGAGCUAAUACCGGAUAGUUCAACGGACCGCAUGGUCCGCUGAUGAAAGGCGCUCCGGCGUCACCUUGAGAUGGCCUUGCGGUGCAUUAGCUAGUUGGGGGGGUAACGGCUCACCAAGGCGACGAUGCAUAGCCGACCUGAGAGGGUGAUCGGCCACACUGGGACUGAGACACGGCCCAGACUCCUACGGGAGGCAGCAGUAGGGAAUCUUCCACAAUGGACGAAAGUCUGAUGGAGCAACGCCGCGUGAGUGAUGAAGGUUUUCGGAUCGUAAAACUCUGUUGUAAGGGAAGAACACGUACGAGAGGAAAUGCUCGUACCUUGACGGUACCUUACGAGAAAGCCACGGCUAACUACGUGCCAGCCGCCGCCGUAAAAC
rnacentral:rRNA from 1 species